GCCAGUGUAUGAAGUGGAAGUGGAACCGAAAAGCAGCAGCUUAGUACGAAGAAUUGCAAAUUACUUGAAUUUGCACAAAAACGCGAUAAAUUCUUAAUUUAACUAAUCGGAAAUACAACGCAUGCGUAUUAACAAAUAGAAAUAACUUAAUUUUAUAAAAUUUGAAACAAUAAACGACGCGAAAAAACGAACGAAACCAAAGUGCUGCUCAUGAAAUAGUGAAAAUGUAAUUUCUCUGCUGCACGACGACGACGACGAAGCAAAAAAUAAAAAAAAAAGCAAGGGAAAGAUAAAAAUAAGAAUCUGUGGUCAGCGCUGGAGCGACUAUCUUAAUCCUUGGUAGUAGUAACUGGAGAUACGGAAACAGAUUUAGCGAUAUAUUCACAGGAGCGCACAAUUUUUUUUGCAAACGAAUAAUAAAUUUUGUAUAUAUACUGCAUACAUAUGUAUAAAGGAAAGGGAAACAGCAGUAAAACAAGACGACAUAGUAGAUGAAGAAGAACAAGCACAAAGUGGAGUUGUGAAAAAAUAAGGUUUUGUUUCCGCUGGCCAGACGGAAUCUAAAAUUUUUAGAAAAACAUAGUAAAAGUGUGGCUUAGGAACCGCUGCGGACCUAAGUGAUUCGAACAGCACCAAUAAAUGGGGAGAAGACUGAUUGCGUAGACACCAGUUUAACGACGUUUACGCUGCGUAUCUAAACCGCACUAUAACCGAAUGGCUGCUCAAAGGUGGAAGCACAGUACGCUUACUACACAAAUAUUAUCGACUGCCGCUGGAGGAUAUUAGGCAACCUCUUCCGUCUUGGCAGCAUUUUUUUUUUUGCGUUAGUUUUUCGUUAUUUUUUCGAUUAGCACCUGUUAACCACUUAUGUAUAUGCCCGCACGUUGUUUAACCAAUAAUAUAGCGCACUCGCCACCGCAAACCAAUCCAAUGCUCGCCAUCAACGAGGAGCAACAGCACACGGAAACGUCGCAUGCAACACAACGCAACCAUGCGGAUGGCAAUGGUGAAGCGCAAACCACUAAUGGAAAUGCCAGCGGCAUCAACCAACAGCAACACAAACAAACUGCUGGCAGCAAUAACAACAGCAGCAGUACACACGAUACAGCGCAGUUGCCACCAUUGCCCGAUGGCCCGCUCUGGACGGUGCUAUACGACUAUGACGCCAAAGGCGAGGAUGAGCUGACGUUGCGACGGGGGCAGAUUGUGGUAGUGCUCUCAAUGGAUAGCAAUAUUUCGGGCGAUGAGGGCUGGUGGACGGGCAAAAUUGGUGAUAAGGUUGGCAUUUUUCCGAGUAACUUUGUGACAGACCAAGAUCCCAUGAUGCCAGACGUGCCCUCUGCCAUUGGCGAUAUACAACCGCAUGAAAUCGACUAUGCCGAACUGGAAGUGAGCGAAGUUAUCGGUGCUGGUGGCUUUUCCAAAGUGCAUCGUGGUUACUACAAUGGCGAAGAGGUUGCGAUAAAAGUGGCACCGCAGGCUGGGCCCGACGUCGAAUCCAACCGCGAUAAUGUGCUACAAGAAGCCAAACUAUUCUGGGUGGUCAAGCAUGAGAACAUCGUGGCGCUGCGAGGUGUCUGCCUAAAGCCUCCCGAUCUCUGUCUUGUUAUGGAGUAUGCACGUGGCGGUAGUUUGAAUCACAUUUUGGCACGUGGCAAAAUACCGCCAGACGUGCUGGUCAACUGGGCGAUACAAAUUGCACGCGGCAUGAACUAUCUGCACAACGAGGCGCCCAUUUCGAUUAUACACCGCGAUUUGAAGAGCUCAAAUGUGCUAAUUUUGGAAGAAAUCAUCGGAGGCAAUUUGCACAACAAAACGUUAAAAAUCACCGACUUCGGUUUGGCGCGCGAACUCUACAACACGACACGCAUAUCAACGGCGGGCACUUAUGCUUGGAUGCCGCCGGAAGUGAUAAAAAGCAGCAUAUACUCCAAAUCCUCGGAUGUUUGGAGCUACGGUGUGCUGUUGUGGGAACUCAUUACCGGUGAAACGCCCUACAAAGGUUUCGAUUCGUAUUCAGUUGUAUUUGGAAUUGCGGUUAAUAUGCUAACGCUACCCAUCCCGAAAACUUGCCCCGAGGCGUGGGGAAAACUCAUGAAAAGCUCCUGGGAGAACGAUCCGCACAAGCGUCCGGGUUUCAGGGAUAUACUAACAAAGCUGGAGGAUAUUGCACGUUCAGGUUUCACGCUAACACCACAGGAGUCGUUCAACACGAUGCAGGAUGGCUGGAAGAAAGAGAUAGCCGAGGUGCUUCACGAGUUGCGCUUAAAAGAAAAGGAAUUGCGCACCAAAGAGGAACGCUUGAACCGUGUUCAAAGCGAACAGGACGAACAGGCCAUGAAUCUGAAACGCUUCGCUGAGCACUUGAAGUUGCGCGAAAUGGCUUUAAUUGGGCGUGAGCUGCAGAUCGCACAGCAUACUCCCACACCGAAUCGAAGACGUGGCAAAUUUAGCAAAGUGAAACUCAAGCUUCUCAAAAAGAACGAAGUGCAAAUCUCAUUACCAACUGACUUUCGGCAUACGGUAACGGCGAUACACGACAAACCCUUGACUGAUACACCACCUGGUUCGCCAGCGAUUUCCCAGCUACGCAUUGUGGCACGCUACAAUUCCAAAGACUGGUGCUCGCCAUUGCAUGCGCUGCCCACUGCCGCCACCGUAGGUGCAAGCAGCACCAUCAUGGACGCGCCGCUGCCCAUUAUGUCGCCAAACCCCUACCUGCUCAGCCGCUUUACUUCCAACAUUCCCAUGCCGACGCUGUAUGCAGGCGACGCAGUGCGCAAGCCAAAGCUCUCCGUCAUCGAGGUGCUGCUCUACAAUAUGGCCGCGCUGUUGGCUGGCGUCGCGGCUGGCUACGAUGUGCGCAUCUCGAACGUAUCACCGGUGCAUCCGUCACUGCUGAGCGAUGUGCCCGCUCUGAAGGCGCCUAUGGAAAUGGAGUUUCCGAGCGUUUUGGAUGAGCGUAGUCGCUUUGCGGCCAACACUUACCACGGCACUGGCAAUAAGCACCAACGUGCCACACUGAACGCCGCCACUUUCGCGCGCUUAGAGGAACAGCGCGCCCCCUUGCAUCAGAGUCCGCGCGGCUCCCCCAAAAUGCAUGCCGCGCCAAACUAUUACUUCCAAAAGCACCCGCUGCCCUUGGCCGAUGCCGGAAGUAAGCUGGCGCAGCAACAACAACAACAGAAGCAAACACAGCAGCACCAGCAACUGCCGCUGACCGGCUCCACUACCAGCGGCUUGGGAUCGAACUUUACCAACAACACCUCGGCGCUGCUGUCAUCGUCGCUGGGUAGCCACACACAGCCACCGACGCCUUCACCACGUCGCAAGAUCAGCACUUCUUCGUUUACGGAGCAACUCGAGUAUUCGAUGCACGAUGACACGCCUCCGACGCGGCACUUUGAUGACGCCUUUCACAUUGGCGGUGGAAUGGCGCCGCCCGCCACGCAAUAUACGCGCGCAGACUACUUGCGCCAUGGACCGAGCUUCUCCAAUGACGGCGGCGCUUACGGCGCAGGUGUACACCGCGCAGGCUACUUCGGAUCCAACUAUUUUCCGUACCGGCCAGAGGUACAGCUGGCCUACCAGCGCGACUGCAAAUCUUAUCCCGACUACUCCUACGACUACAAUCACCGUCUGCCUAACUACUACGACUACAAUUACGAUUCACAACAGCAGCAGCAAGUCACGCCAAAACAUCAACAGCAGCACUACCAAACGCGCACUCCGCCUCCGCGAGUGCCUCAGAUGGGCGUCAGCGCCGCUGGCCAUCGUCGCACACCCUCGACCAUUUCGAAUAGCUCCAACAUCAACCAAGGCUUCUCUUUCGAUCAGGACGAGCUGCAUGCAAACGCCGAUUUGUACGACUACAGCAACCUUAAUCUGCAGCUAAACAUCAAUGUGGGCGCCGGUGGGGCUAUCGUAGGCAGUGCUCCGGACUAUACGCACUAUCGCGAACUGGCGCCACCGCCUCCCGCUCCGGUUGGCGUGGUACCGCCGCCUAGCAAGCACGAGCUCUAUAAGAGUUCGCCCAAAAUGACGCAGCGUUUAAAGCGCGGCUCCAGCGGCAGCAUGGGUUGCGAGACCGGCGGCGGAUUGAAUCGCAUACGCGACUAUGAGAAUGUGCCCGCAUACAUCGGCAGUCCCCUGCAUAGACCCAAGUUCCACAACACGUUAGCGCAGCAGCAACAGCUGCAACGGGAGCGCGAACAGCAGCACCACCCGCUUUUCAGCACCCCGCAACAUAGCCUCUAUACGCACACGCAGUCGACGCCGCUUAGUCCGAUUCAUAUGAAACCAAUGAGCGCGCAAGAGCGCCCAGCUUCUCUUCCUUUCGAGCAGACAACAACAACGGCACUCGGCUUCAACGGAAGCGGUGCUAGCAAACUGCGCUCAUCGCUUAAAAAAUACAAUAGUUACAAGACGCCAAAUGGCACCAGCACGGCCGGGACGACAAUGAGUGCAGCCGAUGUGGGCGCUAACGCGGGCAAUGGUCUUUCGGUGAUAAGUGGCGGAAACGGCGGUGGUAGCGUAACCAAACGUACGGGCAGCGUCUCUUCACAACAGGGCACGCCCACCAAUCCGACACCACCCGACUCGCUCACCAGCGAUGACAGCUCGUAUCUGAGUGCUAAAGAGGGUUCCAUUUCGUCGCAGCACAGUCGCGUGCGGUUCAGUCCAGAAGCGUUUCUGGACGCCAGCAGCGGCAAUGGCAGUAUCAACACCAGUAACAGCAACAAUGGCAGCGUUGGCGGCAGCACUAGCGGCUACAUCAACCAAUCGACAAUAUCGCUGUUUAACCGGCGCAUAUCGAGGCGCCACACCAGCGACAUGUCAGCAACCACGCCACCAUCCUCCUAGCAGGGCAGCGCGACACGCUUUCCAACCACUGCGCUGCAAUUGGCGCGCAGCCCCGGCGCGUUGGUCAGCAGUUCAUUGUCGUUGAAUUCGCCGCAGCAGCAGCAGCAGCAGCAACUCUCCGCGCCGGUGCAAAACUCAAUGCAACAGCUCCCUUAUAGGUGGUACUCGGGCGCACGUCGCUCGCGUUCAGCACAUUACGAAUAUAGGCUGUAAGCGGGCGAAAGCGUGGCCAUAGCUGCGAAAAUCAUAAAUGGAAAAUUGAAUAAGGUAGAGCGCUGAUGGGAGGUCAAGAAGAGGACUGUAGAGGACAGCAGGACUUAUCUCUUCACAAUUGAGUAUUAUAAAGUGACGCUCUGUCGUUUCCAUGGCAACUAUUGUAAAAUUUUCGGUUUCCACUUUUUACAUAAAAAAUCACAGCGUGCAGCCCCAAGAGGAUGUACCCAAAAACUUAGCGAACUUAACAAGUAUUUCGGUCUAGGCUACGCUUCAAUCCGACGUAGUAUACAAAUAGCCUUAGCGUAUAAAAUAUAUAAUGCGUAUUAUAUAAAUAUGAGUACAGAUAUAUACAUAUAUUUGUCUGAUAAUCACUUUUCCAUUUCAAGUCUUACAAAUCAUAAGUAUAUACCUUGUCAGCACAGCCAAGAGUAUCUGGUAAUCACUCUCUUUUUAGUAAAUCCUUAAUCAUAAAAAUUCGAGUCAGCAUUUAGUUACAUGUAAUCACUCUAACAGGCUUCAUCGACCUUAAUGUGCAUGCAAAUAUUUAGGGAAUAUAUUCGUACAUGUAAAAAGUGCAUAAAUAAUGUGCUGAAUUGCUGUUAAAUGCGCUGAAUAUUGCUAAACAAAUAAAUACCAUGCAAAUAUGAAUGUGCUUACAACUAAAAUUCAAAUAUAAGCGAGCUGAAUUGUAUUAUGCGCACGAUAGAGUAAUCGAUAAGCAAACUAUGAACUGUUAUAGAAUUGCAAGUCUAUAUGGGCAUUGCUAGAGCUUAUUCGGGCUUAGUGUGCGAACGUGCAGCCAAAUCCAACAUUACACUCAUUAGUAUAAGGCGCUGAAUAGCAGCUAAAUGAGCUGAAUUGCAAAAAAAAGCUACUUUGUAUGUGACUAUGAAAGACAGCGUAAAAAAAUUCGUUUCUAGGUUUACGCUUAAUUGCGCUGAAUGAGACUAAUGACAUUUUUAAAUUAAAAUCAAGCAAAAAUAAGACAGUAAAAGUGAAAAGCGACUAUCUUAGGCAGAUAUUAAUGGUGCUGAAUAGCAAAUAAGUGCAAUGAAGUACGCUGAAUAUGGCUCGAAAGCGGUUAAAAGCUUAUAUCAUAAUAACAACUUAAACAAGAAGCUCACGAAGUCACAAAAUCGUUAAAAUCAAUAGUUAAAUCAUAAAUAUAUACACCCGUAUGCGUCAAACGAUUUUCAACGGCUCAUUACUCCAAAUAUGCCAACUUCUCCAUAACCACUUCAUUACCUUUGCCAAACAUAUGUAUGUACCGCACGCAAUAAAAGCUCAGAAUUUAUACAUAAAUACAAUUCCUGCAUACUAACCCAAGUAUUUAAAAUCGUUUUGCUUUUAAGUAAUAAACUAAGGCUUACAAGUUUUUGCGAAAACCGUAAUUCAGAGCAUAUAGUAAAUAGUAAAAAAAAAAAAAAAAUAAAAAAUCGAAUGAACGUAUGCAGACUAACCAGUAAGAAGAAAAUUAAAUCGACUUGAAAAAUGUAUGUAAUUGAUGCCUUAACAAGAAAUUUUGAAAAAAAAAAAAAUUAAGUACUCAAUCAACAAAAAGUCUUGAACCAAAAUAUGUGUAUUUAUUACGGAAUUAAGAAAACCAAAAUAUUGCUACAUAUAACCCAUCCAACCAAAAAAAAAAAAUUAACGUAAUACUCUCGUAAUUCCAUAUGUAUGUAUUCUUUGAAACUUGUUUGCAUUUGAAUUUAGAAAUUGUGAAAUUAAGGAUUUUAAAGUUUCUUCUUCGUCUUUGUAUACUUACAAGAAGAAUUGCAUGGGUGCAUAAAUUUAAGGCUGAUGUUAUUUCAUAAGUGUAUCUACAUAUACAUAUGUACAUAUGUAUGAAUUAUCGUUAUACAAAAAAUUUACUGUUGGUACAGUAGACACUCGCUGGCUUGAACGUUGUUGUGGUGCAACAAAGCGAAAAAAAACCUAAAGCGAACGUAAGCUCCGAUUUAUUUUUUUUUUUUAUGUAGAGAAAGUGCAAGUUAUCGCUGUACGACUGUACCAAUGUUUGUUUAAAAACAGGUAGCUUAAGUAAGCUUGAAAUAUCGGUUAUUGCUGGAAUGAGAGGUAAAGUAUUUUCAUGAAAUUCGCUCGAGUAUUUUAAUCGUAAAAUUUAUUGAGCAUAAAAUGAAAAAAGUGUACUCAAAAAAUUAAGAACAUUUUUUAUGCAUAGCUUUCAUAAAACAAAAUAUAAUUACAUAUUAAAGAUCCGAAAUUGGCACUCUAAAUAUUUGUGGUACUCACUCAGUCAGCACACUUGUAUUUAAAGAUGAAUUUUUUUACCAAAAAAAUUGCCAUUCCCUGUACAUUCCAAACACGUAAAAUUUUAUUAAUUACAAAAAUUAGAUUUUGCAAGCAAACAAAAUUUCAUAUAAAUGUAGUCACUUUGGAAGCAAAAGAAAAGUAUAUACAAGGGAAAAUGACAAUCUGAGGCAAGACCACCCUAACUUUCACUCUCUCUGUCCUGGAGAGUGGAACAAAUAAGAAUUCUAAUGAAGAAACUAUCAAAAGUCCUUGAGACUUUAGUUCCCAAAUUGUUCUUCGAUAGAAAGUUCCUUCGACUUUUUUACCGUUUUGUUCUUUGCCAGAAUGUUCCGAAGACGUUUGUUCCAAUUUCGAUCUCUAUAUAAUUCCCGUUGGGAACGUUCUCGAAAGUUUUGUUCUCACUUUCGUUUUUGUAAAAACACUCCCUAAGUUUUUGUUCUCAUUUCGGUUUGAGUUUUUAAGCGUUCUUGGGAACAAAACUACGGGAACCACAUUUCGUUUCGAUCAUAACUUUGUUCUCGGUUUCUUAAAAAAAAAGUUAAUUUCUUAAGAGAAAUUCGUGAGCAAAAAAAAAACUGGUGAACUAAAAAUAAUAUAAUAAACUUCAACGAGUGAGCUGAACACAGGAAUUCACUGGUAUUUAUUUAUGAAAUAUUGACACCCAAAUUUUACGCUUGAGAAAGUAGGAAAAAUGCGACCAAAAAACCGUGAAAAAGAUAUAAUCAGGGCCGAUUCCAUGUGAAUAAAUCGUUUCCAUUAUUUAACAUGCAAACCAAAAACAACUUUUGGUAAUGUUUUUUCGUGUGAAAUUCGCGAUGGGCCGAUUAUGAAUUUCGUUCCGUUUUUCAAGAGCGCAGCGCAAGAAUAAGAACAACUCUUGAGCCAAAAUAAAAAUUAAGCGAGCCAAAAGUAGAUCGACACUUCCCCUGAAAAAUGGUCUCCUUACAAAAGUGCGAAACAUAAGAUUGUAAGCAAAAAUAUUAAACAAGGAGGCUAGUACUUUAAGGUGGGAAAAUGGGCACAUUAAGGGCAAACGGUCAAAUUAAGGACGAAACAUUUGAAUGAUGCUAAAAA
rnacentral:misc_RNA from 1 species